AGAGUUAAAGGGUAGCGUGAGUGUUUCUGUAUUUGUAUUGUAUUUAUCAUUAUGAAGCUUGUGUUAUUUAUGCCCUGGACAUCCUUUGUUUUUUUUUUCAACCUAAUAUGUGAUAUGAAUAGAAAUUUGGAAGAAAGAAGCCCAAACCAGGGAAGUAUCAGUUAAAGAACUGAAGGAGAUGAAAACAUUGAAGAAUAAGGUUUUAAUUGGUAUCAUAAGUUGUUAAUAUAGCUCAUGUCAUGAUAUUUUUCUCUUUAGUGCUUGGACUUGAACCAAAUACUUCCUGCAUGCCAGGCAAGCACUCUACUAUGUAUCUAUAUGUAUCUAUCAUAUAGAUCCUCAGCUACCUCAGGACUUAAUACAGAUAUUUUCAGAAAUUUGUUGAUUAAUAAUACUAACAAAGAAUGGUUAAAUCUUCCAGGUUUGCAUUGAUGAGGACAGACACACACACACACACAUACACACACACACACACACACACACACACACACACUCACACACAAACACAUCUUACAAAGUAUAUAAUACUUCAAAUGCACAGAAUACAUCAUUUUGGCCCUGUAUAUUUAUCAUUUUAAAAUUUCUCCCACUAUGCAUGUGACCCCAGGACUAGGCAGGGUCAGUUAAGAGGACAGAAUGUGACCCUAUUUUAAAAGUGAAUGAACCAAUAGUUCCAUGCCACCUUCACUUAGUCAUUUCACCCCUACAAGGAGUUAAAAUGUACAGUCAGGCAAUUUUUGCAUCCUAAUUUAAAUGAAAGCAAAGGCACACUCUUGCGCUACUCCUCCUUUAGUGGGAUAUGUCUUUUACCUUAAGACAUUGGAAAGCUUAAUUACGUUGUGCAUUGACUAUUACUGCAGGAGUCUAAGCAGGAGCAUCAAAUGAAGGAAACUGCUUUUCCUACCCCCUUGUUCAGUUUGCCUUAUGAACUAAUCCUGCUUUUACUCACUAUUUGAAAGCAAAGCAGUUUCAGCCACCACUAAAACUGCCCUAGAUGAGCAUGACAAAUCUUUCCUGUCUGAGCCUGGUGUACCUUUUGGAGGCUUAGACAAAUGAUAGCCAAAGGGGAAUUUUCAUUUUGUACAACUGAGCAUCAACUAUGCAAAUCAAAGGAGUGCCUGGCAUAUGACAUGUGCAAAUUCAGAGCUGUACUUCGUGGUCAAACCUUUGCUAAAGCUGCCCAGAUCCAAACUGUAUUUUCCAGUUCAGCUUUUACAUUGUUAGACAAAGAGGGAGAAGCAGCUCUUUUCAAAGUUUCUCGCACAUGUAUCUUGAGAUGGUAUCACUUCAGGUAUGAUACCUUUAGUAGUGAUUCUUCAUGAAGCCUAACCCAACAGUGCAGUUCGGAGAGUUAGCAUUCUUUGUUCUUGACUCCACCCAUACGUCAUCCAAGCCUGGAGUUGCCAGCACCACUGUGCUGCUUUGAAUUUUUACAGCAUAUUAGGUCAGCUUUCAUCACCACAAGAGCUCAUCUGUAACAAAUUACAGACGUUGUGAUUUCUGUGAGCUGAUUUGGUCAACACUAAUAUCGUGUUUUAGAAUGCUUUGAUCCACAAGUUUCUUACAGCACUAAAAAUCCUUUGUCCUAAAUUCAAUUUAUAUAAUCCAAUUUAUAGACUGAUUUUUAAACUUUAUAGACCAGUGUUAUUUAAGAACAAACGACAAGGGUUAAUAUUGGGGAAAAAAUGAAUUUCAAAGAGAGAUCCUUGAGUAUUUAAAAUGUCUGAUGGAAACUCUAGCUUAAUCACAAAUUUGUGAUGACUGUUCAAUCGAUGUAUUUUUAGAUACCAUAGAUUAAGAGAUAAAUUUACAGAGACUAUUCCAGAGUAACUUCACUAGUAACCAGCAAAUCAACUAGUGAAUCAUGAGACUUAAGAACAGGGAAUUAAGAUAUUAAAAUAUGUAUUUAUAUCCUAAAUUCUUACUGUCUGUGUAUGCUUAGAUGAAGUAUCACUUCAUAUCAAGAUACAUGUACAGUACAGGAAACUAAAAAGAGCUGCUUUCUCCCUUUGCCUAACAAUACAAAGCUCUGCUGGAAAACACAGUACUGACCUGGGCAGCUUUACCAAAGGGGCAAUAUUACAUACAACUUACUCCAUAUGCUCCUCUUAAAAACCCUUUGAAAAGUCUCAGUAGCACUCCCAUUUUACAGAGGAGAAGGUUGAAGAAAGAGCUGUUAACCAACCUACACAAAGCUACACUCCCACAAAAUGAGAGACCUCAUACUUGAAUGUGCACCUAGUAGGUGACAUUGUGGUCAUUGGCAAUCACUGGGUUGCGCUGGUCAUCCUAUAAUUAUAACCAGAGGUUACCAGAGAAGAUGAUAUUAAUGUCUCGCCAUCCUAGCAUGUUUCCAGAGGAGAUUCUACAGUUGACUGUUACUCUUGCAUUGUACUUUCUUCCACAAGUAAAGUGGAAGGCUCUGCACAGCGACACUUGCAUCCCUGUCACCCAUUGUCUACCUUUGAAGUCACCACUUAGCCAGUUUGGUUCUUAGUGGAACGUUUAGCAAAAGUUCAAAUGUAAUGCCAAAUCGCACCAGUUGUACUUUUUUUUUUUUAUUAUUAGAUAAGGUAGAAAUGAAAGCAGCAGGCAAUUUAAUUAGCAGUAAUUUUUCUGGGCGAGUCAUUACUUUGAUGAACUUCAGAGCAAUGUUUACGGCCCCUAAUUAACCAUGUUAGUCAUUUGAUUGAAUAAUCACUUUGGAAAUGUUUCUACAAUUUGAUUAGAGUCUGACCCACUCUGAUAGUCAUAAAUUAACUGUUAUCACUUUAGAAUAACAUGACUUUAGUUAUUCUAUGUGAAUAAACCUCCUAGCCCUGUCCUUUAUUUAAAAAGG
rnacentral:lncRNA from 1 species